UCCUGGAGGAACAGCAAGCAGCGGACGGUUCCAUUUCAGCUCAAGCAGCGCAUCAAAAAUGACAGCCUUCCAGCACUGGAAAUAUAAGGAGCAUUUCAUUUACAUAUGUGAAAACGGCUCAAAUUUAACCGUGCAGUGCAAGAAGUGUUUGCCGGCUAUCAAGAACUUGUCCACGUCGAAGCAAUCUAUGUCAAACCUGAGGAAACAUUUAGAGAGGAAGCAUCCAGGCGUUCUUCUGAAAGGCACGUUUAGUCCAUCUGAUACUCGGGACCCAUCGUCCAUCUUAAUUCUUGAUGCACUGUAUUGUGCCGUGUUUACUUUUACAAGCAAGGGUGUGCAAAGAAAAAAUCACGAAAAAUAAAAUGUGAUGUAAAAGUC